GGCUUGUAGGAUAACAACACUCUAUAAAUACGAAACGGAGCGAUUUGUUUUCAUUAGACAUUCAGUCACAACAUUUACUAACGGUCACAAUGAAAUUCUUCUUGCUCGUUAUUGUUGCAUUGGUUGCAGUUCUCUGCACUGUAAAUGCACAAGUGCCUUGCCAAGGACUUUUUGCAUGCGUAAGUGUCUGCGCUGUUGCCGGAAAUAAUGCGUUUGGAGUGUGUCCUUCGGGCCUGGUCUGUUGCCCUCUGGGAGUAGGAAAGUAGAGUCGAUCAACCGGUCAAGAGUGUGGAUCCACAAACUCUAUAUGCUUUUGUGCACUUCCAUAACACGAUUGCAAAAUGGCUUAUUGCAAAAUACAGUAAUGCUUUUGGAAA